UACGGAGGGUGCAAGCGUUAUCCGGAUUCACUGGGUUUAAAGGGUGCGUAGGAGGGCAGGUAAGUCAGUGGUGAAAUCUCCGAGCUUAACUUGGAAACUGCCGUUGAUACUAUCUGUCUUGAAUAUUGUGGAGGUGAGCGGAAUAUGUCAUGUAGCGGUGAAAUGCUUAGAUAUGACAUAGAACACCAAUUGCGAAGGCAGCUCGCUACACGUAUAUUGACUCUGAGGCACGAAAGCGUGGGGAUCAAACAGG
rnacentral:rRNA from 1 species